ACACAGCAUUUCAUGGAUUUGGAGUUCAUUAGUCCUAAUGCUCAUCCUGGAGUUUACUUCUUUUAUGACUUUUCUCCAAUCAAGUCCACUUUUAGGGAGGAACAUAUUUCAUUUUUGCACUUCAUCACCAAUAUAUGUGCUGUAAUUGGAGGUAUCUUCACAGUUGCAGGGAUAAUCGACUCGUUUGUAUAACAUGGUCAAAGAAAGAUCAAGAAGAAGGUCGAAAUCGAAAAAUUCAGAUGAUUUAUCUGCUUAUUAUUCCCAUACAUCACCUUGGCUUUCGACACGGUUUUCGAGUAUUUUUGGGAUAGUGCCCGUGUAGGGAUCCAUGCUGCUGUUUACAUCCCAGAUUGUAUGACAACAUAUUAGUCCUUGAAUCAUUGUUGAAACUGUCAG